GAGGUGCUGUAAUUUCAGGAGAUGAAUUGGAAGGUAUUGCAAUGUCAGAAGAUGAAAUGGGAGGUAUUGUGAAAUCAUAUAGUGAAGGGAAAUCAGGAAAUACAAAAGGUGUGUGAUUGGUGUUUGGUAUGGAAGG